GUCUAGGGCUGGGUCUUUGCGGGCGAGAUGAGAGGUUUGUGGAUUCAACUGGCCUACAAAGUCCCAGUUCUCGGC
rfam:Pelodiscus sinensis unplaced genomic scaffold scaffold85, whole genome shotgun sequence.